AAGUCGUAACAAGGUUUCCGUAGGUGAACCUGCGGAAGGAUCAUUAACAAUUGUCCAUCAAAAUAUGGAUGGUUUAAAACAAUCCAUAUCCACCCUUCGUGUGCACACCAUUGACAUGUUUGCUUUGGCAGUUUUUUGCAAGGGGAGAUUCCUUUUACCGUUUCUCCGUGGAUGGGGCAAAAAAAAGGGGGAGACGUCCCACUUUUUUUUCCCUGACCGGCGCUGCCAGAGUUUUUUUUUCUUUUUCAUCUUGACAAAACCUUUGCUUUUUCUUUAUGAGAAGCAAGCUUUGAAAAACAU
rnacentral:misc_RNA from 1 species